GACGAACGCUGGCGGCGUGCUUAACACAUGCAAGUCGAACGGAGUGGCGAACGGGUGAGUAACACGUGGGUGAUCUGCCUUGCACUUCGGGAUAAGCAUGGGAAACUGGGUCUAAUACCGGAUAGUGCAAGAUGAGCUCGCGGCCUAUCAGCUUGUUGGUGGGGUAAUGGCCUACCAAGUCGUCGACGGGUAGCCGGCCUGAGAGGGUGUACGGCGACAUUGGGACUAAGAUACGGCCCAGACGACUACGGGAGGCAGCCGGGGGUAAUAUUGCACAAUGGGCGGAAGCCUGAUGCAGAAACGCCGCGUGGGGGAUGAAGGCCUACGCGUUGUAAACUCCUUUCGAAAGGGACGCGGUACCUGUAUACGAAGCACCGGCUAACUACGUGCCAGCAGCCGCGGUAAUUC
rnacentral:rRNA from 1 species